GCACUCACUUCAGCAGCACAUAUACUAAAAUUGGAGUGAUACAUGGAAGAUUAGCAUGGCCCCUGUGCAAGGAUGACAUGCAAAUUCAUGAAGCAUUCCAUAUUUUU
rnacentral:snRNA from 1 species